rnacentral:rRNA from 1 species
AUUGAACGCUGGCGGCAGGCCUAACACAUGCAAGUCGAGCGAGCGGCGGACGGGUGAGUAAUGUCUGGGAAACUGCCUGAUGGAGGGGGAUAACUACUGGAAACGGUAGCUAAUACCGCAUACCAUCAGAUGUGCCCAGAUGGGAUUAGCUAGUAGGUGUGGUAACGGCUACCCUAGGCGACGAUGCCUAGCUGGUCUGAGAGGAAGACCCGCCACACGGGAACUGAGACACGGUCCAGACUCCUACGGGAGGCAGCAGUGGGGAAUAUUGCACAAUGGGCGAAAGCCUGAUGCAGCCACGCCGCGUGUGUGAAGAAGGCCUUCGGGUUGUAAAGCACUUUUGUCGGGGAGGCGUUACCCGCAGAAGAAGCAACGGCUAACUCCGUGCCAGCAGCCGCGGUAAUAC